GACGAACGCUGGCGGCGUGCUUAACACAUGCAAGUCGAACGGAAAGGCCCUGCUUUUGUGGGGUGCUCGAGUGGCGAACGGGUGAGUAACACGUGAGUAACCUGCCCUUGACUUUGGGAUAACUUCAGGAAACUGGGGCUAAUACCGGAUAGGAGCUCCUGCUGCAUGGUGGGGGUUGGAAAGUUUCGGCGGUUGGGGAUGGACUCGCGGCUUAUCAGCUUGUUGGUGGGGUAGUGGCUUACCAAGGCUUUGACGGGUAGCCGGCCUGAGAGGGUGACCGGCCACAUUGGGACUGAGAUACGCCCCAGACUCCUACGGGAGGCAGCAGUGGAGAAUAUUGCACAAUGGGCGGAAGCCUGAUGCAGCAACGCCGCGUGCGGGAUGACGGCCUUCGGGUUGUAAACCGCUUUCGCCUGUGACGAAGCGUGAGUGACGGUAAUGGGUAAAGAAGCACCGGCUAACUACGUG
rnacentral:rRNA from 1 species